CACACACAGCCCAGAGCAGGCAGUGGAGGCGACUCCGGAGCCGGGCACCAAAUGCCUCAUCUGCAUGGAGCCUGUGGAGGACAGAAAGACCUUCAACACCCUGGUGUGCCCAGCCUGCAAAACCACCUGGUUCCACAGGGACUGCAUCCAAGGACAGACUCUGCAUGCUGGUCUUUUAUCCCUCCAGUGCCCUCUCUGCAGAAAUGAUGACACAUUUCUCAUGGAUAUGUUCACCAUGGGGAUCUGAAUCCCCUUGAGACCACCAUCAUGGGAGAGCAAUAAUGCAUUCACCAAGUUCGGAGAGAGACACGGGCACUGCGAUGCCAGUGAGUGCCUUUGUCCAGGAGGCAGGCAGGAGGCAGAGCAGGAGGGGCCCUGGGAACUGCUCCUGUGCUCCUCCUGUGCUGCCGAGGGCACCCACAGACACUGCUCUGGCCUGGGGACAGCAUAACCAGCUGGGAAUGUGAUGGCUGUGCAAUCCUG